GGGAGAGGAGGGAGUCGGAGAGGGGCACUGAGAGGACAACAAAAUCCAGAAAUGGCAAAAGGGAAAUGUGAGAGGUGGAUGAAUGAAAUCAAAGUGACAGGAUGGGAUGAGGUUUGAUGAAAAUUAAAGAGGGAGAGAAAAGAGAACAGAGUAGGGGUUUUAAUGGAUUAGCAAGGUUAGGAAGGGAAGAUGGUGCAGUGAAGGGAAGAAUCAUCUCAAACAUUCAACUCUAGUUUACUGCAGCGCAAUGGACUGGGUCAAACUAAUCCUGGUCUCUCACUGGGAUUCCCACCAAACUGCACUCCAUGUGGUCCUCAGAAAACACCUGCAAGACUAGACCAAGGCUCCUGCUCAACAACACAAGCAGUCUCAUGUUUCAGGAGUUUGAACCUCUCUGAAGCUUCGUCAGCAGAAAGACUCCAAUAAAAAGAAUUCCUCUGUAACAAACUAA